ACGGGAAACCGGAGCUAAUACGAUAAUAUUUCGAACCGCAUGGUUCGAUAGUGAAAGGUGGUUUUGCUAUCACUUAUAGAUGGACCCGCGCCGUAUUAGCUAGUUGGUAAGGUAACGGCUUACCAAGGCGACGAUACGUAGCCGACCUGAGAGGGUGAUCGGCCACACUGGAACUGAGACACGGUCCAGACUCCUACGGGAGGCAGCAGAU
rnacentral:rRNA from 1 species